rnacentral:tRNA from 2 species
ACCCGGUUCGUCCAAUGGGAGGGCCGCUGCCUUACAAGCAGCAGACGAGGGUUCGAUUCCUUCACUGGGUACC